rnacentral:misc_RNA from 1 species
UUUCCGUAGGUGAACCUGCGGAAUGAUCAUUACAGAGUUCAUGCCCUCACGGGUAGAUCUCCCACCCUUGAAUAUUUAUACCUUAGUUGCUUUGGCAGGCCGUGGAAACACCAUGGGCUCCGGCUUAUGCGUGCCUGCAGAGGAAACAAACUCUGUUUUUAGUGAUGUCUGAGUACUAUAUAAUAGUUAAAACUUUCAACAACGGAUCUCUUGGUUCUG